rnacentral:rRNA from 1 species
GCCUACGGGGGGCAGCAGUAGGGAAUCUUCCACAAUGGGCGAAAGCCUGAUGGAGCAACGCCGCGUGGGUGAAGAAGGUCUUCGGAUCGUAAAACCCUGUUGUUAGAGAAGAAAGUGCGUGAGAGUAAUUGUUCACGUUUCGACGGUAUCUAACCAGAAAGCCACGGCUAACUACGUGCCAGCAGCCGCGGUAAUACGUAGGUGGCAAGCGUUAUCCGGAUUUAUUGGGCGUAAAGGGAACGCAGGCGGUCUUUUAGGUCUGAUGUGAAAGCCUUCGGCUUAACCGGAGUAGUGCAUUGGAAACU